rnacentral:rRNA from 1 species
AACGAACGCUGGCGGCAUGCCUAACACAUGCAAGUCGAACGAGACCUUCGGGUCUAGUGGCGCACGGGUGCGUAACGCGUGGGAACCUGCCCUUAGGUUCGGAAUAACUCCCCGAAAGGGGUGCUAAUACCGGCUAAUUUCUUCGGACCAAAGGUUUAUCGCCUUUGGAUGGGCCCGCGUUGGAUUAGCUAGUUGGUAGGGUAAAAGCCUACCAAGGCUACGAUCCAUAGCUGGUCUGAGAGGAUGAUCAGCCACACUGGGACUGAGACACGGCCCAGACUCCUACGGGAGGCAGCAGUGGGGAAUAUUGGACAAUGGGCGAAAGCCUGAUCCAGCAAUGCCGCGUGAGUGAUGAAGGCCUUAGGGUUGUAAAGCUCUUUUACCCGGGAUGAUAAUGACAGUACCGGGAGAAUAAGCUCCGGCUAACUCCGUG